ACGGGAGGCAGCGGUGGGGAAUAUUGCACAAUGGGCGAAAGCCUGAUGCAGCGACGCCGCGUGAGCGAAGAAGUAUUUCGGUAUGUAAAGCUCUAUCAGCAGGGAAGAUAAUGACGGUACCUGACUAAGAAGCACCGGCUAAUACGUGCCAGCAGCCGCGGUAAUGCGUAUGGUGCAAGCGUUAUCCGGAUUUACUGGGUGUAAAGGGAGCGUAGGCGGUUUUACAAGUCUGAUGUGAAAGCCCGGGGCUCAACUCCGGUAUUGCAUUGGAAACUGUAGAACUAGAGUGUCGGAGGGGUAAGUGGAAUUCCUAGUGUAGCGGUGAAAUGCGUAGAUAUUAGGAGGAACACCAGUGGCGAAGGCGGCUUACUGGACGAUUACUGACGCUGAGGCUCGAAAGCGUGGGGAGCAAACAGGAUUAGAUACCCUGGUA
rnacentral:rRNA from 1 species